rnacentral:lncRNA from 1 species
CAAGAGUUGAUUGAUAGGAAGGAUAUCAGCCAUCAAUAGCCUUCUCUGCAAGGGAGCUAGCACCCCGGGGAGAUCCAAAGGCUUCGAUCGACUCACUACUUCGUGUGGAUACCCGUAGAGGCCGGACGCGUGUGCGGCUUCCACUGAACCCUCAUCAAAUACCACGUGAAUCAGAUUUGCGGAGACCAUCUACCCGCAC